AGAGUUUGAUCCUGGCUCAGAAUCAACGCUGGCGGCGCGCUUAACACAUGCAAGUCGCACGAGAAAGCAGGAGCAAUCUUGUGAGUAAAGUGGCGUACGGGUGAGUAACACGUGGAUCAUCUACCUCUUGGUGGGGAAUAACCCUGGGAAACCGGGGCUAAUACCGCAUAAGCCUGCGAAGGGAAAGCAGCAAUGCGCCGAGAGAGGAGUCCGCGGCCGAUUAGCUAGUUGGCGGGGUAACGGCCCACCAAGGCGAAGAUCGGUAGCCGGCCUGAGAGGGCACACGGCCACACUGGCACUGAAACACGGGCCAGACUCCUACGGGAGGCAGCAGUGGGGAAUCUUGCACAAUGGAGGAAACUCUGAUGCAGCGACGCCGCGUGAGCGAUGAAGCCCCUCGGGGUGUAAAGCUCUUUCGACGGGAAAGAUAAUGACGGUACCCGAAGAAGAAGCUGCGGCUAACUACGUGCCAGCAGCCGCGGUAAUACGUAGGCAGCAAGCGUUGUUCGGAAUUACUGGGCGUAAAGAGUGUGUAGGCGGUGUUCUAAGUCUGUUGUGAAAUCUCCCGGCUUAACUGGGAGGGUGCGGCGGAGACUGGAAUGCUAGAGUGUGGGAGAGGUAAGCGGAAUUCCUGGUGUAGCGGUGAAAUGCGUAGAUAUCAGGAGGAACACCUGUGGUGUAGACAGCUUACUGGACCACGACUGACGCUGAGACACGAAAGCGUGGGUAGCAAACAGGAUUAGAUACCCUAGUAGUCC
rnacentral:rRNA from 1 species